rnacentral:lncRNA from 1 species
UGUGUAUACCUUAAUUUUUGUGCAUACAUCCAAAACAUCAAGUAUUUUGUCUAAAAUGGGUUUUUCAACUCCUUUCUGUUAUAAACCAAGUGGUGAUCGACCCAUAUCAGGUCCAAACCGUCCGGCCCAUCAGAUAUCCAUCCGGCCCAUUCGCUAAUGACUUAGGCGAAUGAGAGUUUACAUUUAUCUAUACUUGAUGUUUAUCCUUUUCCAUAUGUAUUUAGGAUAAGCACUAUUUUCUAUUCCUAUUAGGAAUAUGAUUUCAUUUUCUCUUAUGACGGUCUAAAUAAGACGGUCUAAUACUUGUAUAAAUAUAGACCUCUGGUCAUGAGUAAUAAUAAGCUUACACAGCAUCUCUUUUAUAACAAGUUAUC